rnacentral:tRNA from 1 species
AAAAUCCGUUGACUUUUAAAAUCGUGAGGGUUCAAGUCCCUCUAUCCCC